rnacentral:misc_RNA from 1 species
GAAAGAGAAUUCAUAUAGCCGACACCUUAAGUUGAGUUGAGUUGUAUCAUUUGCUCCUAAGAUAUGCCAAAAAUAUACUAACUACUCGCUAUAUUUCCAAAAUUGAAUUAAAAAUUUCUUUACUUAUCAAUGAAUUAUAAAUCAUUAAUAUUAGAAUUAUCACACUUUUUAGUUUAAAAUCAAUUGAAUACUUAGAAGUGUAUUGAUCACAAAUAGGAAUAAGCAUGCAAUUAGAUUUUUUAUAUUUUUACGCCAGUUUACAAAUACAUAGAUUUCACCGUAUAUUUUUUUA